rnacentral:tRNA from 1 species
UCCGUUGUAGUCUAGUUGGUUAGGAUACUCGGCUCUCACCCGAGAGACCGGGUUCAAUUCCCGCAACGGAA